AUCCAGCUGACGAGUCUUAAAUAGGACGAAAUACGAGUUCUGAAU
rnacentral:hammerhead_ribozyme from 1 species